GAUGAACGCUGGCGGCGUGCCUAAUACAUGCAAGUCGAGCGAACAGACGAGGAGCUUGCUCCUCUGAUGUUAGCGGCGGACGGGUGAGUAACACGUGGAUAACCUACCUAUAAGACUGGGAUAACUUCGGGAAACCGGAGCUAAUACCGGAUAACAUGUUGAACCGCAUGGUUCAACAGUGAAAGACGGUCUUGCUGUCACUUAUAGAUGGAUCCGCGCCGCAUUAGCUAGUUGGUAAGGUAACGGCUUACCAAGGCAACGAUGCGUAGCCGACCUGAGAGGGUGAUCGGCCACACUGGAACUGAGACACGGUCCAGACUCCUACGGGAGGCAGCAGUAGGGAAUCUUCCGCAAUGGGCGAAAGCCUGACGGAGCAACGCCGCGUGAGUGAAGAAGGUCUUCGGAUCGUAAAACUCUGUUAUUAGGGAAGAACAAAUGUUUAAGUAACUAUGCACGUCUUGACGGUACCUAAUCAGAAAGCCACGGCUAACUACGUG
rnacentral:rRNA from 1 species